AGAAUGUGCUGGGGACGUAUAAGAGAGGCAAAAAGGCGUGACAUGAGGAAUGGAAUGGAUAAUAUGAAUUGAAGAGGCCGAACUGUGCAGAAGCAGAAUGUGCAUUCACUCGGGGAACUGAAAAAUGUGGGUAUAUAUUCAUGAUCUUGAUGAGCUCUUCAAUUGUUUUAUGCGACAACUUAAUCCUCUUUAAUCAGAAGCUGUUUUUGAAGUCUUUCGUCUCGCGUGGUUCAUCCAACUUUGUGAUUCAGUUAAGCAGCAAAACGAGGCGUCUUAACGGGUUCAUUUCAAAAGCGGAAAAGCAUAGUGGCCAUUCAAGGAAAAGCAGUUGGUGGCAGAAAUUCUUUUUCGAAGAUGAUGGGAAUUGGCUUGGUUUGAGAGACGAUGAUAUGGUAGAGGCUGAGGCUGAGGCUGAGGGCGAGGGUGAGAGCACACAAGAGUUAUCUGAGGGCGACAAGUUUGAGGCAUGGAAGCAGAGAGCUGAAGCAAUUGUGGAGCUAAGGGAAGCCCAAGAAGAUGGGAGGAACCAAGCCUAUAGGAAAUGGGAAGACUGGCUUUUGGAUGGGGAUGGGACUAAUGGGGAGGAUAACACUUCUUCUUGGGAGCAGGAGAUGAGGGACUAUAGGGAGAAUGUGCGAGCUGAUUCCGGUGAUGUUCCCGCGGAAAAGGGGAUCGUAGAGUCCGCUAGGUAUUUGAUUUUCGGAAGGGAAGAUGAUGACAUGCUUUAUGAAGACCGUGUUUUCCAGUACGCCUCAUCAAAUUCGGCUAAAUUUUUGGCAGUGUUGAUUAUUGUACCUUGGGCAAUGGACUUUCUGGUUCAUGACUAUAUACUUAUGCCAUUUUUAGACAGAUAUGUGAAGACUGUACCACUUGCAGCACAAAUGCUUGAUGUGAGAAGAUAUCAAAAACUUCAAAUAAUUGAGGAAUUAAGAACUGAGAGGGGACGAUUUGAGCUUGAGGUUGAGAUUGGUAAAUCUCCACCUCUUUCUGAUGAUGAGGUUUGGUGGGAAUUAAGGCAUAAAGCAUUAGAGUUGAGAGAAGAGUGGAGACUGGAAAAUCGCAGAGCAUUUGCCAACAUAUGGUCAGAUACAGUUUACGGGAUCUCUUUAUUUAUUAUUUUAUACUUCAAUAAGAGUAAAGUAGCUUUGCUCAAAUUUACAGGUUAUAAAAUUAUCAAUAACAUUUCAGAUACUGGGAAGGCUUUUCUAAUUAUACUGAUCACAGAUAUAUUCUUAGGGUAUCAUUCUGAAUCUGGUUGGCAAACUUUGCUAGAGAUAAUUGUUGAGCACUAUGGACUUGAAGUUGAUCAGUCUGCUAUAACUAUUUUUAUCUGUCUGAUCCCAGUUGUCAUCGAUGCAUGCGUGAAACUUUGGCUGUUUAAAUUCCUCCCACGUUUAUCCCCAAGGGUGACAAAUAUAUUUCGGGAAAUGAAACGUCACUAGUUGGCAAUUCAUAGCCAGCAUAGUCGAUUAUAUUGCCAGUCUUAGGACCUUCAUCUCAGUACUCCAUAAAAAAUUACGUGAACUUGUCUGCUACUUCGCAAUUCGCGUGUGUUUAGUCACUUGGACAUAUGCAGCUGGCAUGCAACUGCUGUGGGAUAUACCGCCAAGAGUCGCAUGUCAAGCACAACGUUACCGUGUACACCCUUUUGAUGAGCUAGUGUGUAUUUAGGGACCUCAUCCAUUAUUGUAGGUAUUCUUUUUAUUUAUUGAGAAGACUUAAUCUCACUUUUAAUCUAUUAUAUUUGUCAUCUGUUUUGUUUUGAUAUAUUAAAUUUUAAAAGUUUUAUUCUAACACUUUACAUUUUUAAAGUAUUUCAUUUUGAUCAUUUCUUUUAAUUUUCAUUAACAAACGUUAGUAUGUCGUUAACAUUUAGAUUUUAAAAUAGUUAAUUAACAUUAGUACAAUAACGACUACAAACUCUUACUAUCUUUAUUUUAUUUAAAAAAAUCAUCUUUUCCUCCAAUCUCUUUUCUCAUAUUUGAGUUUUUUAGAUUUGAUAGUAGAUCUAUCUGGAUGGGUUUGGGGUCGUCGGGUUGGAAGAAAGAAAUAAAGAAAAGGGAGGGAGAGAAAGAAAGAGAAAAAGGAAGAAAAAAUUUUAUGGUGCAAUGGUUGCUUUGAUUGAUGUCGUGAUGGCUAUGAUGGUGGAGUUAUCUCACACCUCUGACAAUGAACUUUGAUUUUGGUUUUAGGGUUUUACUGUUACUUAUGUUACUUAUUUUUCUAAUGAUUGAUGAAUAUUUAUUGUUCUAGGAUUGUGAUGAAUUCUUGUGUGGUAUGAUGUUUAUCUUCAUAUAGUCCUCGGAGUAACAUGACAUUACUAAACAUACGGUAUGCAGCGACUCGUUUGGUGGGAUAAGGAUAUUUUUGUGUAAUAUUAUCACUCUUGUAUAAUGUUGGGAUACUAUUGGUUUGGUGUUGAAGUAGAUGAACAAGGGAGGUUUUCUUGUUGUGGUUUAUAAUUUUUGAAAUAAAAUAACAUAAUGACGAUUUUUAAUGA